AUUAAAUCUUUUUCCCCAUACACUUCUUCUUUGUAUUGAUCCCAUUUGUGAUAAAUAACCUUUAGUUUACAAAUGAGUAAUACAUUUGUUUUGUCCUACAUGUUGUUACUAUUUCUGAAGUCUUAAUAAUACACAUGUGAGUGCAGCAGAUGUGUCUUUGCUGUUUGUGGAUUUGUUUUCUGCUCGGCGCUAAAUGACCCAACUCACACGAGCUCAGAGGAAACCAUGGUGAUUGAUCGUGUUCCAGCCGAACCUUCCCCAUUUCCUCUCAACUGUAACCUGGGUUAAUAUACACACAGACGCCUGCUAGAAGAACUUUGGCACAUUGCUCCAACCUGUAAGUCAUUAAUGGGUGCAAUAAAUACCUUGACUUGCUUAUGACUGCAUAGCUAAAUAGUUCUGCAACACGACAAGAGCAUUAACAGCUCUGGCCGCAGACUCAUUCACUGCGAGGCUGCUUUUGGUUCGGAGUUUGACUCUCCUAUGUUUGCAUGCGGAGCAACGGCACCUGCAACUCGGUCCAAACCCAGCAGACUGUCAGACUUCCAGCUCAGGUCUCCGGGAAGUCAAGUCUUCUAUCCCCCCUUUGCUUCCUGAUGUCCUUGGCGAGGUCUUCGAACUUCACCUGUGCAGCCUGGAAGAAUUCCUGAGGCUCCGGCAGAGGAAACACACUCUUAUCUGUGCCAGCAUCCUGGAACACAUAGACGUAUACGAGUGUUGAGUAAGUAAUACAUGCGUGAUGAUGUCCACUUUGCGGCCGAUGGAGGCGAUGAUAUCGAGGAACACUGACUGAAAUAUGAUGCAGCGUGAUCGGCCUGCAAAGUCGGGAAUCUGGGAGAGCUCAUAAAGAAACCUGGAAACAAAAAAAAAAGCUGUUCCUGUUGCAGAGAAGCUGUCAAUGUGGUCCUGAUGUCUGGAUCAGAGAGAUCGCUGGAGGUCCAUUUCCUACAUCUUAUUAGAGUGGAUUAUUCAGUCCCUCAGCCAUGCAGCCGUCAAUCACACACCAAAGGGGGGCCUGCUCCAGUGUGCACAAGAGCACUCUGAUCCGAGGGGAGCCGGAUAUCUCUCCACACCAACAGAUCAAAGCAGGCCUGUCAACCGCCUCACACCCUCUCCUUACACUUUUCACUCAUCGGCUUUAGUGUGGAAGGGCAUGUGUGGUGUGUGAACAAGCUCAUAUGUGUGUGUUUGUAGUUGGUGUGUGGGGGAGAGCCUCCCUUUGCCCUUGAACCAUGGUGGCCCUUGAGGUCCCCCAGUCACUCCUUCGGGUGCAUUUUACCCCCCCUCUGCCUUAAGUAGAGUGCUACCUUCUCUGCUCCCCUCCUUCCCUCCCUAGUAGCUCUAAUUACAUUACAUGUCCCAUGUCCUUUUAAUUUGGCAACAAAGGGGAGGCAAGCAGGCGAGGCCAAGGACCAGAGCCCUUAGAAGUGCUUAUUAAGGUGCUGUCCUUCAUUGUCAGAUUCAAAUUGUUAAUUUCACUUCCCAUUAAGGCACGAGGAGGCAACCUCACACUGAGAGUAAGCUGGCCUUUUUAACCAAACCUGCUCUACAAGCUCACACUGGAACGGAGAGAAAAUGAAUUAAAAGGGAAAAAAAUAAAAACUGGUGCUUUGUGCUGUGGCUUGUGCAUGAGGCGGUUUUAUGUGGCAGUGCAGUGUCUGCUAACUGUGGAAGGUGGUUUUGUACAUGCUCAGAUCAUUAGUGGGGUGUCAGUCCCAUUAGGCUUGUGGAAACCGUCACUGGCUACAAUAAACAGAUCUGCUGGCCGCAUGCUCAGACUAGCAGGCGGCAGGAACUCUCCGCCACAGUCCCAGCACAGGACCAAUUCCUGGCCUAUCUACUCUGUCCCCAACACACACAUUACGUGUUUACAUACACAAUGUGGCUGGAUUUUCCACAGAAGCAAGCAAGCAUGUAAUCAAUUUAUGUGGCUCUUCAAAUAAAGGAGAUUGCAAUUUAUUGUAUUUUUAGCGGUGCAAAAAGGAUUUUUGGGCAAGGGCAGCAGUAGCUCAGUCUGUUGGGACUUGGAAGGAAGUAUGGAAAUCGCUCUAGUGCAGUUCCCGAGCACUGCCAAUGUGCUCUUAAGCAAGGCACCAAACCCUCAACUGCUCGGGGGUGCACUCUUUUGUGUGCACCCCCCUCACUCUGACAUCUCUUCAUAAGUUCAUGUCCAUAGGAUAAUGUUUGUGCAUUAGUGUA